UCUGUCUGUCUGUCUGUCUGUCUGUCUGUCUGUCUGUCUGUCUGUCUGUCUGUCUGUCUGUCUGUCUGUCUGUCUGUCUUGUAACUGAAUCCAUGCUCUGUCCUUUGCACAUGAGUGAGUGACCCCCCCCCCCCCCCCCCCCCCCUCCAACUCUCUCACCCUCUUGUCUCUGAGGUAUUUAGCCUGUGAAUCCAGGGACCCAUAGAUCUAAAUUACAACUUGGCCUAAUUCAAUGGAAGCAGGAUUGCACAGACAGCCUGCUCUGUACAAUGGCUACGUCUGAAAUGACAACCUCUUUGCUAUAUGUAGGGAAUAGGGUGCUAUGUCAUUCACAGGAGGAAGUUCAUAAACUAGACUGGUAACUAGGUGAGACAGAUAAUCCAGUACACGUUAACCUGUAUUGUACUGUAAGUGUUUGGUUAUGAGGGGACCACUGACUCCUGCUUGUAAACCAGGUUAUUACAAGUUUUAUGUUUACUGUAUGAAGGAUGUAUUCACCUCUGGCUUAUAAAGUAUGUCUGAAAUCCACUGCUGUGAUCCACUGUAUCUUGGUCAGAGGAGGCUGGUGGGAGGAGCUAUAGGAGGACGGGCUCAUUGUAAUGGCUGGAGUGGAAUAAACCACAUGUUUGACUCCGUUCCAUUGAUUCCAUUCCAGCCAUUAGAAUGAGCCCGUCCUCCUAUAGCUCCCCACUAGCCUCCAGUGAUCUGGGUGUUAGUUAAUUUACAUUUAUAACCCCAACAAAUGAUCACAAUGUAUGUUAAUCUUUAUGCUUCAUUGGGGCCACAGUAAUCAAAUAAAGCUAUAUUGUAUUUUGACAAUGUUUAUUUUUUUAUACAUUUUAUUUACGUAUAUCUAGAAAUAUACUUUAUGGGUAAAACUGGAACAUGGAUGUUGAUUAUUGGGUGAUUUGAAAUGCAAAUGUAUAUCAGAUUUAAAUAUGUAUUUAUUCAAAUGCUUAUGACCACUCUUAUGUCCCAAGUGCAGAAGUGUUAGUCAUCAACAUGGAAAGACUGCUUCUCUACAUCUCUCUCCUCAUUUCUUCAGAAGAGCUGGAGAUGAUGGAGUGAGCGAGGGAGAGAGAGAAAGACACAAAGGCUAGUCUCCAUGGCAACCAUCUGAUUCAUGCAGACUGAAAGACAGACUUUUUCAUAGCUGGAUUGAAGCUUGCCAGAUCAGAGCCGCCUACAGGAAUACAUAAUGGAGGAGAGGUGCCAAGGCUUUGGGAUGUCUUGACAUGAGAGAGGCCUUGGAUUGAAGCAGCUCAAACAGGCUCCAAGAUGCCCCAAACAGUCCCCUUUUACAGUUUAAGGAAGCAAUUAAUACAUGCAUGGAGACUCUCUUUGCAACUUGUGUGCCGUUACAGAUGUGGGAUCAUAAUCUGAGACAGUUUGCUACAAUAGUUUUGAAAUGUUCGUCGAAAGAGAGAUCAGAGUCCAGAGUAACGCCAAGGUCUUUCAUAGUUAUUUUUUGACAACCGUACCACCAUUGAGAUGAAUUAUCAGAUCAAACAGCA